UACGGAGGGGGCUAGCGUUGUUCGGAAUUACUGGGCGUAAAGCGCACGUAGGCGGAUUGGCAAGUCAGAGGUGAAAUCCCAGGGCUCAACCUUGGAACUGCCUUUGAAACUCCCAGUCUUGAGUUCGAGAGAGGUGAGUGGAAUUCCGAGUGUAGAGGUGAAAUUCGUAGAUAUUCGGAGGAACACCAGUGGCGAAGGCGGCUCACUGGCUCGAUACUGACGCUGAGGUGCGAAAGCGUGGGGAGCAAACAGG
rnacentral:rRNA from 1 species